rnacentral:rRNA from 1 species
GAUGAACGCUGGCGGCGUGCCUAAUACAUGCAAGUCGAGCGAACAGAUGAGGAGCUUGCUCCUCUGACGUUAGCGGCGGACGGGUGAGUAACACGUGGAUAACCUACCUAUAAGACUGGGAUAACUUCGGGAAACCGGAGCUAAUACCGGAUAAUAUAUUGAACCGCAUGGUUCAAUAGUGAAAGACGGUUUUGCUGUCACUUAUAGAUGGAUCCGCGCCGCAUUAGCUAGUUGGUAAGGUAACGGCUUACCAAGGCAACGAUGCGUAGCCGACCUGAGAGGGUGAUCGGCCACACUGGAACUGAGACACGGUCCAGACUCCUACGGGAGGCAGCAGUAGGGAAUCUUCCGCAAUGGGCGAAAGCCUGACGGAGCAACGCCGCGUGAGUGAUGAAGGUCUUCGGAUCGUAAAACUCUGUUAUUAGGGAAAAACAAAUGUGUAAGUAACUAUGCACGUCUUGACGGUACCUAAUCAGAAAGCCACGGCUAACUACGU